CCCUCCAUUCCUCUCUCUUCUCCCUUAGCCUGUGUUCUCAAGAACUUAAAACCUCUUCAACUCUCGCCUGACCUAAAAUUUAAGUGUCUUAUUUUCUUCUGCAACGCGGCUUAAUCCCAAUACGAACUCGACAGUGGUUCCAAAUAGCCAGAAAACGGCACUUUUGAUUUUUCCAUCCUACAAGAUCUAGAUAAUUCUUGUCGUAAAAUAGGCAAACGGUCUGAGGUGCCUGACGUCCAGGCAUUCUUUUACAUGUUGUUCCCUCCCUAGUCUCUGUUCCCAAUGCCACUCAUCCCAAAUCCUCCUUCUUUCCCACCCUCCUGUCCCCUCUGUCCCAACCCCAAGCAUCACUGAGUCUUUCUAAUCUUCCUUUUCUACAGACCCGUCUGACCUCUCCCCUUCUCCCCAGGCUGCUCCUCACCAGGCCGAGCCAGGCCCCAAUUCUUCCUCAGCCUCUGCUCCCCCACCCUAUAAUCUUUCUAUCACCUCCUCUCCUCACACCGCGUCUGGUUUACAGUUUCAUUCUGUGACUAGCCCUCCCCCACCUGCCCAACAAGUUCCUCUUAAAGAGGUGGCUGGAGCUAAAAGCACAGUCAAGGUUAAUGCUCCUUUUUUCUUUAUCCUACCUCUCCCAAAUCAGUUAGCAUUUAGGCUCUUUUCCAUCAUAUAUAAAAACCCAGCCCAGUUCAUGGCCUGCUUGGCAGCAACCCUGAGACGCUUUACCGCCCUAGACCCAGAGGGGCCCGAAGGCCACCUUAUUCUUAAUAUGCAUUUUAUCACCCAGUCAGCUCCUGACAUUAGAAAAAGCUCCAAAAAUUAGAUUCUGGCCCUCAAACCCCAUAACACAACUUAAUUAGCCUCGCCUUCAAAGUGUACAAUAAUAGAGUAGAGGCAGCCAAGUAGCAAUGUAUUUCUGAGUUGCAAUUCCUUGCCUCCACUGUGAGACAAACCCCAGCCACAUCUCCAGCACACAAGAACUCCAAACGCCUGAACCACAGCUGCCAGGGGUUCCUCCACAACCUCCUCCUCCAGGAGCUUGCUACAAGUGCCGGAAAUCUGGCCACUGGACCAAGGAAUGCCCGCAGCCUGGGAUUCCUCCUAAGCCAUGUCCCGUCUGUGCGGUACCCCACCGGAAAUUGGACUGUCCAGUUGGCCCAAGGCUCUGACUGACUCCUUCCCAGAUCUUCUCGGCUUAGCGGCUGAAGACUGACACUGUCCGAUUGCCUUGGAAGCUCCCUGGACCAUCAUGGACGCCAAGCUUUGGGUAACUCUCACAGUAGAGGAUACAGAGAGGAGUCUGGGAGGCCACAUGUUUCAGACUUAAGUAACUUGGUGGCGACAUUUAGUGAGAUGGGAGGAAACACAGGAAGGGAACGAGGCUGCGUAGAGGAAAAGGGUGAUGAACUCGGUUUGGGAAGUGCUGAUGUGAAUGCCCUACGAUGAAAAAAGAAGUCUUCCGAUUUCUCCCUCUGAAGUCUUUGCUUCUUCCCUUGGAAAGAACACAGCCUAUGACAUCAGGUUGAAACCAGGAAUGUAGUUCUCUGAAAAUACUAUGUGUGGGGGUCGGGGGAAGGACUUUACCUUGUCCCAUUCAUUACCAGGAUACUUUCCUCUCUGAAACCUUCGCUCCCUGAACAUUUCCUAGAUUGUCCAUCUUUUCCUCAUUUUUAGAUUGUAAGCAAUGAACUGUUAAUAAUUUUGUACAUUUUGGUUUUACAGCCACGCACUUUAUUCUUCUUUGUCAAGUUUAAAGUAUUGUAGGGCUUGUGCCUUCCCACAUAAAAUUUAGAACAAACUUGUCUAUUUCCACAAAAAGCCAUGUUGGUAGUUUGAGAGGAAUUGCAAUCAACCUAUGGAUCAAAUUGAGAAUUGUAUCCUUAUGAUGUUGAAUCUUCCAACCCACGGACAUGGUAUGUCUCUCUAUUAAAAUAGUUCUUUUUUUCACUUCUUUCCUCAGAAGUGUGUGAUUUUUUUUCAACAUACAGAUCCUAUGCAUGUUUUGUUAGAUUUAUAUUUAAAUACUUCCUUUGCUCUUAAGAGAUUUAAACUGUUAUUAUGUUUUUGAUUUCAGUUUUUACAUGUUUGUAGUUAGCAUAUAGAAAUGUGAUUGCAUUUCUCAUGUUGACCUUGUAUUCUGUGACCUUGGUAAACUCACCUAUUAAUUUUAAGAGGUUAUUUGUAUAUUACUUGGCAUUUUCUAUGUAGAUAAUCAUGUCAUCUGCAAAUAUGGACAGUUUUAUUUCUA